GAGUGGCGGACGGGUGAGUAACACGUGGGCAACCUGCCCAGAAGCAGGGGAUAACACCUGGAAACAGAUGCUAAUACCGUAUAACAGAGAAAACCGCCUGGUUUUCUUUUAAAAGAUGGCUCUGCUAUCACUUCUGGAUGGACCCGCGGCGCAUUAGCUAGUUGGUGAGGUAACGGCUCACCAAGGCGAUGAUGCGUAGCCGACCUGAGAGGGUAAUCGGCCACAUUGGGACUGAGACACGGCCCAGACUCCUACGGGAGGCAGCAGUAGGGAAUCUUCCACAAUGGACGCAAGUCUGAUGGAGCAACGCCGCGUGAGUGAAGAAGGGUUUCGGCUCGUAAAGCUCUGUUGUUAAAGAAGAACGUGGGUGAGAGUAACUGUUCACCCAGUGACGGUAUUUAACCAGAAAGCCACGGCUAACUACGUGCCAGCAGCCGCGGUAAUACGUAGGUGGCAAGCGUUAUCCGGAUUUAUUGGGCGUAAAGCGAGCGCAGGCGGUCUUUUAAGUCUAAUGUGAAAGCCUUCGGCUCAACCGAAGAAGUGCAUUGGAAACUGGGAGACUUGAGUGCAGAAGAGGACAGUGGAACUCCAUGUGUAGCGGUGAAAUGCGUAGAUAUAUGGAAGAACACCAGUGGCGAAGGCGGCUGUCUGGUCUGUAACUGACGCUGAGGCUCGAAAGCAUGGGUAGCGAACAGGAUUAGAUACCCUGGUAGUCCAUGCCGUAAACGAUGAUUACUAAGUGUUGGAGGGUUUCCGCCCUUCAGUGCUGCAGCUAACGCAUUAAGUAAUCCGCCUGGGGAGUACGACCGCAAGGUUGAAACUCAAAAGAAUUGACGGGGGCCCGCACAAGCGGUGGAGCAUGUGGUUUAAUUCGAAGCUACGCGAAGAACCUUACCAGGUCUUGACAUCUUCUGCCAACCUAAGAGAUUAGGUGUUCCCUUCGGGGACAGAAUGACAGGUGGUGCAUGGUUGUCGUCAGCUCGUGUCGUGAGAUGUUGGGUUAAGUCCCGCAACGAGCGCAACCCUUAUUACUAGUUGCCAGCAUUCAGUUGGGCACUCUAGUGAGACUGCCGGUGACAAACCGGAGGAAGGUGGGGACGACGUCAAAUCAUCAUGCCCCUUAUGACCUGGGCUACACACGUGCUACAAUGGAUGGUACAACGAGUCGCGAAACCGCGAGGUUUAGCUAAUCUCUUAAAACCAUUCUCAGUUCGGACUGUAGGCUGCAACUCGCCUACACGAAGUCGGAAUCGCUAGUAAUCGCGGAUCAGCAUGCCGCGGUGAAUACGUUCCCGGGCCUUGUACACACCGCCCGUCACACCAUGAGAGUUUGUAACACCCAAAGCCGGUGGGGUAACCUUUUAGGAGCUAGCCGUCUAAGGUGGGACAGAUGAUUAGG
rnacentral:rRNA from 1 species